rnacentral:rRNA from 1 species
AAUGAACGUUGGCGGCACGCCUAAUACAUGCAAGUCGAACGCGAUCUUCGGAUCGAGUGGCGGACGGGUGAGUAAUACAUGGGAAUCUACCGAGAAGUGGGGAACAACUAUUGGAAACAGUAGCUAAUACCGCAUAAUCCACAUUGGGAAAGCUUUUGCGCUUUUCGAUGAGCCCAUGUCUGAUUAGCUAGUUGGUAAGGUAAAAGCUUACCAAGGCGACGAUCAGUAGCUGGUUUGAGAGGAUGAUCAGCCACACUGGGACUGAGACACGGCCCAGACUCCUACGGGAGGCAGCAGUAGGGAAUCUUGCGCAAUGGGCGAAAGCCUGACGCAGCGAUGCCGCGUGAGUGAUGACGGUUUUCGGACUGUAAAGCUCUUUUAUUAGGGAAGAUAAUGACGGUACCUAAAGAAAAAGUCCCGGCUAACUCCG